AGUGGCGAGCGAACGGGGACUAGCCCUUAAGUGGCUUUGAGAUUAGCGGAACGCUCUGGAAAGUGCGGCCAUAGUGGGUGAUAGCCCUGUACGCGAAAAUCUCUUAGUCAUGAAAUCGAGUAGGACGGAGCACGAGAAACUUUGUCUGAAUAUGGGGGGACCAUCCUCCAAGGCUAAAUACUACUGACUGACCGAUAGUGAACUAGUACCGUGAGGGAAAGGCGAAAAGAAC
rnacentral:rRNA from 1 species